rnacentral:misc_RNA from 1 species
UCAAAGAACUAAACCUAAUAAUAUGACACACAAUAGACAUUAUCAUAAGCAGGUUUGUUCCAACGUAGCAGAGAACCUUUCUUGGUACGGUUAGGCUUAUGCGCAGUAGAGAAAAUGCGUUCCAUCAACGACAAAAUCGUUUAGCGAACGAUAACUUUUGUGUUCCAUUUAGAAUUGCAAUAGUUGUUGUGCAAAUAUGAUGAGUGGCAAAGAGGACAGUGAUAUUGAGUAUGUUGAUACCACAGAAGAUGAUUUGAAACUUUUGUUAAACAAAGCAAAAUAAAUCAAAUAAAUUCAAUAAUCGAACUGUCCAAGUGUACAAAUCCGAUGCCGGCAAUCCCAAUUACCGUUCUAGAAUAACCUUUAUUUUAAAAUGCGCAAACCCGUUUACUAUAGGACAGGAUUUUUUUUCCCGAGAAUGAUGGUCAUCGGCUACCAAGGAGCAAGAUUGACACAUCAACCAAACUAUUGAUUUAGAAACGACCUCACUACGUGCAUAGAGUCAAGAAGGACGGAUUUUUGCAUUGUACGAUUUAAUAGCUUUACGAAGUUACUACUAAGUAAAUCUAAAAAAAAAAUAAAAACAGAACCGACCAUGGCUAUUCAACACAUAUUUAUAAGAAAACUACUUGAAGAAACUCAAAACCGUACUGAACAGUACUACAGAAAUCUCCACGAAUCUCAUUCCAUUUUCGAUCCGGAUCCUCCUCCACCCCCACCACCGGUACGACCGCCACCCCCACCUUGCAGUUUGUGGUACAUCUGGGCAUCUGUCAUUGUUGUCAUAGCCGCAACUAUUAGCUUAAUUGUUAUCCUGAUGCAUUUUUGCAGAAAAAGAAGAGAACGCAGUCAGAGCCUCGACAAUAUCGUCACAAACAUUGAAUUACAAAACGAUCUUAGGAGACCAAAUCACGUACCUAGAACUACAUACAUGGUUACCCAAAAUCAUACACACUGUAAUAAUGUUGUACCUAGUAAUAUUACAGUUACACAGAAGUUUUAGAAAUUUUAUUACAUAUUAAGGUAUUAUUUAAAAAACUAUUAUAAAUUAUACAAUUUUAGAUUCAUCUCUGAACUUUGCACUUAUGCUAUAGUCGCAAAACAUUUUAUUUAAAAUUCUGGAAACAUUAUUUAAUAAUAAUUAAUUAUAUAUCAUUUUUAUUACCAAUAAUAAAAAUCAAAUGCACUGAUUAUUAUUAAUUUCUUCCUAGAACGAAUAUUUCUUAUAAUUCUCUUUUACUUGAAUGUGUCGUUUAUGCAGGGUGUUCCUUAACGACCUAAUAUUUAAGGUGGCGAUUCUUGGAACUAUUUUAAGAAAAAACCUCAUAUGAUUGUAUGUCCUAAACAUCUUAACUUUCGAGUUACGGGGUGGUAAAAAUAUAAAAAAAUAACUCUGAGAUUAUUAUAAUUAUCUUUAUGAAAUUUCAUACACGUAUUCUAUUCAUGAAGCUUUUUUUUAGUAUACCAACUUUUUUGUUUAUUAAUUUUGCUUAAUUUCCAUUCAUCCGAUGCAAUAACUAUUUCCACAUAUCAAUCACCACAUCAGACUUUUAGCGAUUUGACCCCGAAGUAAAAUGACCUUUUAUUUUUUUAAGCAAAAACUAUCCGUCUGACGAAAAAAUUAGCAGAUGAAAAUUGUUUAGAAAUGAAUGAAGAUUUUGAAAAUAAUUUUUAUUCUAAGAGAUAUCAGUGGCGUACCAUUUUUCCAAAAAUGUUCAGUGGAAAACUCGCAUAGACGCCAUUCGUUGGAAAAAAUAAAAUUGUUUGUACAUCAAAAUAGGCAUUUUGAUGCAUAGAAAACGUGUACCAAGUUUCAUAAAGAUAUCUAUAACACCGGAGUUAUUAAAAAAAUAGAAAAAUUGACCACCCUGUCCAUUUCAAAAGUUUAUUUAGGACACACAUUCAUACAAAGUUCUUUUCUUAGAAUAAGUCGAGGAAUCACCCCUUUAAAUGUCAUUGCAUGUCAUUAAAAAACACCCUGUAUAAACUUUUCAUUAUUUAACUAAACAUAUUAGUGAAAGUCAUAAUAACUAAAUAAGCAAGUCAGAGAUUAUUUUUUAAUCUUUGUUGUGUUCUAUAUGUAUUAGACAUAAUAAUUAUAAUUAUUGUAUGAUAUGUAUGUAGUUUAUGUGCCACUUUUUUACUGAUGUAUUGCAUCUAAAUUUUAUAUUUAUAUCAAAGUCUUGUAAUUAAUGUUAAAACUAUAUAGUAAAAAAUAUUAUACAGGGUGAGUCUCAAAUAAGUGCAACUAUUUUUGGGGGUAGUAUAUUUAGAUCCCAAAAACACGUCAAUGAGUUUUUUCGCGAAAAAAAAUGACAAUUUGCAAUUUUUUGAACAAUUUUUUGGAUUUUUUAAUUUUUACUUAAAAACAUAAUAUUUUUAUAAUAUGACAACACAGGUGUAGUAGAUUAAAUUUACAAGAAAGAAAACGCAGAAAAGAUUCUAAUUUUUUUUUUCGAAAAAUCAAUUUUUUGGAAAUUUUCAAUGUAAAAUAUCUCGGUUAUUAUGGACUUUUUUGAAAAAUGGCAAAGAAAAUAAUGUUUCUUUUAUGGAUAUCUACCAACCCUGAAAAAAUUUGCUUCUAUUUAAGACUUACCUUGUAUGUAUGUGUAUAUAUGUGUUAUGCAUGUCAAUAAUAAAAUUAAUUGAUUUAAUAAAAUUCGAUGUGAA